GGGAGACAGUCAACCCAUAAUAUGAAGACGAGGGAGGAAAAUCAAUACAAUCUAAGGUAUUAAACUGGUUAUUUAUGUGCCACUGAGAACCCUCUAGGAACUGUGUAAAAUACCCCUCAGAAUUCUGAAAGCUGGGACAUUUAAUCAGUUCUUCCACUGGUUGAAGAAUGUCUUAGAAGGUUAACUUCCUCCUACUUGUAGACUGCAUCCACAGGUGGACGACGUGUCGUUUCCUGGCCGAUAAGGAGAACUUGAGAUAAGAGUAAUAUGCAUGAAACUGUCCACUACCACCAGGCAGAAGACAGGAGGCCACGUGCUAUGACACAGGGCACCAAAAGAUUCUGCAGAGGUACACCCCUUGCAUUGCUAAGAUCUGCUCCUGCCCCACAUAAGUCCACUCUGUCAUUGACUCUUUUAAGGCAGUGGUCAGCUGCGAGCUCCUUAAAAAAAAAAACUUUCAACAGGAGGGUUAGUGGAAUAAACUAUAGUUCCCCUCCUGCAGCUGCUCCUAAGCCACAAUUAAUAUUCAUCAUCUCCUUUCCCCACAACCCUAACAUCAAAGCUGGUCUGGAUGGCUCAUCCUGAGGGGGUGAGCCCUUGUCUGCCUUGCCAUUAUCAGGCUUUGUUGGCUGUGAUUGCCUAGUUAGCAUCAUCCCCAGGGCUGAAAGCGCAAAGAGACACUCCAGCACACAGUUCCAGAUGACUCUCCACUGAUCCCACUAUGCAGCAGCAUCCUUAGCUCCUCUGGACAGUCAGGGAUGAUUGCUCCCUUCAGUAUAAUAAAACUCUUUUUACUUGAUGGUCCACUGCCUUGAGGGGCCCAAAGUGGAAAAAUCCUGUGUUAACCAGUUGACAAUGUCUCCCUGAGAAUCAGGAUCUCAAAUCCAACAGAGCCAGUCACAGAAAUGGGAAAACGUUUCUGUAAGGACCUCACCAGAGUGAUGAUGAAAGGGACUAAUCCUAUUUUCACCACUUGGUUACUUGGCCCUGUGUCAUCUUUUUUUUUUUUUUAAUUUUUUAAUUUUAUUUUUGAAAGAGCACUAGUGGGAGAGGGGCAGAGAGAGAGAGGGAGACACACAAUCCAAAGCAGGCUCCAGGCUCUGAGCUGUCUGCACAGACCCUAACACAGGGCUCGAACUCCCGGAAUGUGAGAUCAUGACUUGAGCUGAAGUCGGACGCUCAACCAACUCAGCCACCCAGGCGCGCCCAACCCUGUGUCUUCUAACUACUGGGGACAUAGCACUAUAUGUCAGCUGUUCCACAGGAUGUCACUCCAAAGCUGGCUUCUUAGCUAAGCCUUUAAUUUAAAAGGCCAUUCCUGAGGUGUCUGGGUGGUUCAGUUGGUUAAGCGUCUGACUCUUGAUUUUGACUCAGGUCAUGAUCUCAUGGUUCGUGAGAUGGAGCCCUGUGUUGGGCUCUGUGCUGACAGCACAGAGCCAGUUUGGGAUUCUCCUUCUCUGCCCCUCACCAACUUGUGCGUGUGUUCUCUCUCUUUAUCUCUCAAUAAACAAACAUUAAAAAAAUAAUAAUACAAGGCCAUCCCCACUUUCUACCAUUCGUUUCCAGGCAAUGAAGUGUAUGAUAAGACCCCUUCUUUUACAAAACCAUUGUCACAUGUCCUUUACCAUAAAAUGUACCCUUCAACUGAUACUUCACGAUACAGAAUCCCAGAUUCUGUUAGAAUAGAUGUUCAAUAAUCCACUAGAGAAGCACGACAGGCACGGAAGAUAAAUCCAUAUUCCAAAAAGAUUUCAGUUCCAGUAAGAACACAUUAUUGCCUUCUGCAGGGUGGAAGGAGUCUGAUGUAAUCAAAUUACCACCAAGUGCUGGGGCAAUCUACUCAAGAAAUGACACCAUAAUGAGGAUCCAGCCCCUGAGACUGAGACUGCAGGUUGAGCAUUGAGUGGCUGCAGUAGAUAAAUCAGCCUUGGUGAGAGGGAGCCGCUGGUGGUGAGACUCUGCAGCACCUCCCUCUCGGCCACACCCCCACUCAUUCAUGGGCCCGUGCACUUUGCUGGUUGAAACAGAAACCAGCAGACCAGUCAUUCUGUGUACCUGAUUAUUGAUCCUUCCUCUGCAGCAGAAGCUUUCUGAAGAGCAUUGGCAUGACACGUAAAGAUCUGCACAAUCUGACAUCUCUCCUGUGAGUCCAUCCAUGCACCUUUUCCCCAGGCUUCCUUCUCCAGUACUCCAAUCUUGCUUCAUGUGAUUGAGUUAUUCUCUGCUGUCCAGAAGUCCAUGUACAUUCUUGCCUCAGGCCAUGCCUCCCUACAUGCGAAGUUGAUGGACAAG
rnacentral:lncRNA from 1 species